GCGCGAAAACUUUACAAUGCUGGCAACAGCGAUAAGGGAACCUCGAGUGCCAGGUUACAAAUCUGGCUGUCGAGAUGCCUAAAAAGCAUUUCAUAGCAAGGGCCGGGCAAGACCGGUGCCAGCCGCCGCGGUAACACCGGCGGCUCGAGUGGUAACCGUUAUUAUUGGGUCUAAAGGGUCUGUAGCCGGCCGGAUAAGUCUCUUGAGAAAUCUGGCAGCUUAACUGUCAGGCUUUCAGGAGAUACUGUCUGGCUCGAGGCCGGGAGAGGUGAGAGGUACUUCAGGGGUAGGGGUGAAAUCUUGUAAUCCUUGAAGGACCACCAGUGGCGAAAGCGUCUCACCAGAACGGACCUGACGGCAAGGGACGAAAGCUAGGGGCACGAACCG
rnacentral:rRNA from 1 species